GACGAACGCUGGCGGCGUGCUUAACACAUGCCAGUCGAACGGAAAGGCCCUGCUUUUGUGGGUUGCUCGAGUGGCGAACGGGUGAGUAACACGUGAGUAACCUGCCCUUGACUUUGGGAUAACUUCAGGAAACUGGGGCUAAUACCGGAUAGGAGCUCCUGCUGCAUGGUGGGGGUUGGAAAGUUUCGGCGGUUGGGGAUGGACUCGCGGCUUAUCAGCUUGUUGGUGGGGUAGUGGCUUACCAAGGCUUUGACGGGUAGCCGGCCUGAGAGGGUGACCGGCCACAUUGGGACUGAGAUACGGCCCAGACUCCUACGGGAGGCAGCAGUGGGGAAUAUUGCACAAUGGGCGGAAGCCUGAUGCAGCAACGCCGCGUGCGGGAUGACGGCCUUCGGGUUGUAAACCGCUUUCGCCUGUGACGAAGCGUGAGUGACGGUAAUGGGUAAAGAAGCACCGGCUAACUACGUG
rnacentral:rRNA from 1 species